ACCCAAUCACAAAUUGCCAACUUCUGAAAUCUUCUUGUGUUAAAAAAUAGAUAUCUCUAAACCACGCCAUUAGAUUAUCAUAAAAUUUUGUGUACACUUAGCACACCUAAUAAUCCAAAAAAAAUCAAGUUUUUAAUUAUAGAUGUCACACCAAUUGUAUGAACUAGCUAAAAUUGCUAGCCCUAAUUAUAUUAUAUAAAACCUAAAUCAGUGAUACAAACCUUGACUUUGAACAACAAUUGCUAAGU
rnacentral:lncRNA from 1 species